GCUGGUGGUUAUAGCGGAGAGGCCACACCCGAUCCCAUCCCGAACUCGGUCGUUAAGCUCUCCAGCGCUGAUGGUACUGCAGUGGUGACGCUGUGGGAGAGUAGGUCGCUGCCAGCU
rnacentral:rRNA from 2 species